rnacentral:rRNA from 1 species
GUUGUAAGGUUAAGAAAUUAAGCGUACACGGUGGAUGCCUAGGCAAUCAGAGGCGAAGAAGGACGUGUUAAUCUGCGAAAAGCGACGGUGAGCUGAUAAAAAGCGUUAUAGCCGUUGAUGUCCGAAUGGGGAAACCCAAUGUAGGUAACUACAUUAUUGUCUGAUGAAUCCAUAGUCAGAUGAGGCGAACCGGGAGAACUGAAACAUCUAAGUACCCCGAGGAAAAGAAAUCAACCGAGAUUCCCUGAGUAGCGGCGAGCGAAAGGGGAGGAGCCCAAGCGGGUAGCAUAGUAUAUUAGUGGAAGCGUUCAGGAAAGUCGCACUAUAGAGGGUGAAAGUCCCGUACACGAAAGUAUAUUAUGUGGAAGCUUAUAGAGUAGGGCGGGACACGUGAUAUCCUGUCUGAAGAAGGGGGGACCAUCCUCCAAGGCUAAAUACUCCUGAUUGACCGAUAGUGAACCAGUACCGUGAGGGAAAGGCGAAAAGAACCCCGGGAGGGGAGUGAAAUAGACCCUGAAACCGUGUACGUACAAUCAGUGGGAGCAUAUAUCAUUAGAUAUGUGUGACUGCGUACCUUUUGUAUAAUGGGUCAGCGACUUAUAUUCUGUAGCAAGGUUAACCGAAUAGGGGAGCCGAAGGGAAACCGAGUAUUAACUGUGCGUUAAGUUGCAGGGUAUAGACCCGAAACCCGGUGAUCUAGCCAUGGGCAGGUUGAAGGUUGGUUAACACUAACUGGAGGACCGAACCGACUAAUGUUGAAAAAUUAGCGGAUGACCUGUGGCUGGGGGUGAAAGGCCAAUCAAACCGGGAGAUAGCUGGUUCUCCCCGAAAGCUAUUUAGGUAGCGCCUCAUGAGUAACUGUUGGGGGUAGAGCACUGUUUCGGCUAGGGGGCCAUCCCGGCUUACCAACCCGAUGCAAACUCCGAAUACUGACAAGUUUAAUCAUGGGAGACACACGGCGGG